CUUGCCGGUGAUGAAGAAUGACCACUUACCUACAUUGCUUGAGGCUGUGGCCUGUGAGAACAAACCUCAUUCAUGCACUACCAACUGAGGCAAG